rnacentral:rRNA from 1 species
UACAGAGGGGGCAAGCGUUGUUCGGAAUUACUGGGCGUAAAGGGCGCGUAGGCGGCCAUCUAAGUCAGACGUGAAAUCCCCCGGCUUAACCUGGGAACUGCGUCUGAUACUGGACGGCUCGAGUAUGGGAGAGGGAUGUAGAAUUCCAGGUGUAGCGGUGAAAUGCGUAGAUAUCUGGAGGAACACCGGUGGCGAAGGCGGCAUCCUGGACCGGUAUUGACGCUGAGGCGCGAAAGCCAGGGGAGCAAACGGG